UUUCUUUUGGAUGGGUGCCGGGCGAAUGGGCGGCAUUUCCUUGUUUUGUUUUUAUAGAUAGAGAUAGAUAAGCUUUAGUUUAUAGAUAUAGGUUAGAUAAGCUUUAGUUUAUAUAUAUAGAUAUAAAGUUUCAGUUUUAGAGAGUUUUUAUAUUUAAAGAACAUUUUUUAGAAUAGAACUAUAGAAUUGAUAUCAAAAAGUUUUUUUAGGCUAUACUUAAGUAUGAAUCAAACGUUUAUUGUGUGUCGAUUGCAUUGCAUAUUGUUUGAUGUGUGUAAAAGUAGACAUUUGUAUAUUGUUUGCAUUUAAAACGCUCUGUACAGCAUCUAUUUUUGAUUGUACGCUCGUUUUUGAUGUUAUGUUUUGUGUUAUACUAGAUUAUUAAAAAGUAGCUUUCUGAUGCAUUUUUGUGUGAGAAAGAUGUAUGAUUUUUUCAUUGUGGUGUAUCUAGUGUCGUGCUAGUGUAAGCUUCAUAUGUUUAGAUUAUACGUAGAAUUGAAUUAUCUUGCGAGAUAGUUUUUUUUUACGACUGUAUUUUUGCUUUAUUUUCAGAGAGUGCGCUAACGCAUGAAAUCAGCAGCCUAAAGACUACGGCCGCAAGGCUAAAAUUUAAAGGAAUUGACGGGGGCUUACACAAGCGGUGGAGCAUGUGGUUUAAUUCGAAACAACGCGCAGAACCUUACCAAUCCUUGCAAUAUACAGAAAACAAUGGUUAUGCUUUGUAUUUUGGUAUACAGGCGCUGCAUGGCUGUCGUCAGUUCGUGGCGUGAGCUGUUGGGUUAAGUCCUAGAACGAACGCAACCCUCUUGAUAUGUGUAUAUUUUUAAAGUAUACCUUAUCAUACUGCCAGUGACAUACGGGAGGAAGGUGAGGAUGACGUCAAGUCCGCAUGGCCCUUAUGGGUUGGGCUACACACGUGCUACAAUGGCGAACACAAAGGGAAGCAAGAUGGCAACAUGGAGCAAAUCCUCAACUUUCGUCGUAGUCCGGAUUGUUCUCUGCAACUCGAGAACAUGAAGUUGGAAUCGCUAGUAAUCGUAGAUCAGCAUGCUACGGUGAAUUUGUAUCUAAGCCUUGUACACACCGCCCGUCACAUAAUGGGAGCGGGAUUUGCACAAAGCAUUAAAGAGUAUGCAUUGACACAUUUUGUUUUUGUGCUUGAUGUGCAUCAUAUAGCCUUUGAUGUUACUGCAGGUACUGUGACUGAUAUGAAGUCGUAACAAGGUAGCCGUAGGGGAACCUGCGGCUG
rnacentral:rRNA from 1 species